rnacentral:rRNA from 1 species
UACAGAGGGGGCAAGCGUUGUUCGGAAUUACUGGGCGUAAAGGGCGCGUAGGCGGCCGCCUAAGUCAGACGUGAAAUCCCUCGCUUACACGGGGGAACUGCGUCUGAUACUGGAUGGCUUGGAUUCGGGAGAGGAAUGCGGAAUUCCAGGUGUAGCGGUGAAAUGCGUAGAUAUCUGGAGGAACACCGGUGGCGAAGGCGGCAUUCUGGACCGACAUUGACGCUGAGGAGCGAAAGCCAGGGGAGCAAACGGGG